rnacentral:lncRNA from 1 species
CAACAGUGAGUUUUUAAUACAGAACCCAGAACUUCUCUCCCAUUCUGUACUCUUCUCUAACCAUAUAAACAAAAAUUAAUAAGCCAAACGUUUGUGGUGGGGCAUGGUAGCUCACGCCUGUAAUCCCAGCACUUUGGGAGGCCGAGGCGGGUGGAUGAGUUGAGGUCAGGAGUUCGAGACCAGCCUGGCCAACAUGGUGAAACCCCGUCUCUGUUAAGAAUACAAAAAUUAGCUGGAUGUGGUGGUGGGGGCCUGUAAUCCCAGGUACUUGGGAGUCUGAGGCAGGGGAAUCACUUGAAUCCGGGAGGCAGAG